AAACGUCAUUUUCUAACACUGCGCAUUGCUCCUUUAUUUUAUCGCCAGAAAAUAACCGCUAGGUGGAAAAAUCCCAAAAUUUGAUAUGAUCAAGCUAAGUGACUCACGAACGUCCUCCAACUGGAAUUACUCCAAAAUUCGUCCAUUUGAUCCUAUUUUGCUCCAGAGGAAAUCGAAAGUCUUAUAUUAGAAAUAUAAUUCAAAGUAUCAAAAUUCUUCCAAAAUAUUAACCAAAAUAUAGGAUAAAAUAUAUAAUAUAAAAUCUACUCAUCAGUAAACAUUCAAUCCCUUGCUUCGCUUUUUUGUCAAGAACCAAGAAUCGGUGAAAUAAGUUUGUGGUUUUUGGAUCUACGGUCUAAAACAAAAAAAUGUGUCUAUUCUCUGUACCAACUAAUGUAUCUGUGAUUUCUAUGCAGGAUGCUACGCAACACUCAAGUCCGUUUGGAAAAUGGAGAGCGCACGACUUAAGGAUCUCGGACCCAAGGUAAAAUGUAAUAAUCUCUGGCUCCAUUUACUGAUGUAUGCUUGCAUGCACUAGAUCUGUGAAUUUUACUUAUGCAUGUGGACUCUCUGUGCUAAAAGUUUUUGGAUCCGAAGCGGUCAAGAUGCUAAGUUAGGAAGGUUAAUUUUGUCCUAUGGGUUUGGGACAGAUUGGAAUGGGUCUACGUGGCUAUCAUUCGAUGAGGGUUUGGUGAAUAAGAGUCAUUCCGCCUUUGCAUAGAGCGAGUGGGAGGGAGUAGUAGGUCGUGUUUUAUUGUCUUCGCUGCACUAUGAGUUUUAUUGCAUAUCCCUGGUAUUUGAGUCAUGUUUUAUACUUUUUUUUUUCGUCUGGAAGAUGACUUUUGAUUCCUAUAAUAAUGAGAUACUCAAUCUACAAUCCUGCUUAGUAGCAGUGAUCACCACCUGUUUGGUGAAGGGUACAUGAUAACGCCCCGACCACGAUAUUCCCCGAAUAUCAGGAUAGGCACGUGCUGGUCGACACCCGAGGUGACGAAAGCCAUUUAUUGAAUACAAGAGUAAAGAUUAGGAGAAAAUAUAAAUAUAAUUCUCAGAAUGUCUAAAGGAAAUCAAUAGUGCUUAAGAAAGUGGCUAGAGUGCACAAAGCAUGUUCUAAUUUGAGAUUUCAAAAGGAAAGACUAUUACAGAUUUCACAUAAAGAAAAUGGACGCAGUUACUGGUAGGGGAAUGCCUCGUAUAUUGCGUUGUAGUCUUCGUCCCUAAGACUUGAAUGGGGGCGCAAAACAAAGGUGAGUGGACCAAGUUUAUAUACAUACAGAAUACGAAAACAAUUAUAAACGUACUAACCCCCACAGUUAAGAUAAUGAAAACUACUAAAUAAUAAGUGAUAGGUUUCUCAAAACCUCUAGCAUGCCAUAAAAAUAAUUCAUAUAUCUCUCUGCAAAUCAAUCUCAGAAAAUCAUAUCAGAAAUCAUAUUAGGAAGCAUAACACAAGUUGUGCUGCUAGUGAGUGCACUGAAUAACAAUACUCUCGGCCCAAUGCCUGCACCUCAAUCUCUGUGCCUGUAGCCAGAGAUAUCUCCCUCCCAGCCCAAUGCCUGUCUCCGUGUCCCUUAGCCUUUCGCUAGGGAUUAUUUCUCCCGGCCUCAAUGCCAACACCAGAUCCUUGCCCCAAGCGGCACAGUGUUCACUAUGUACGCACAAAACAUAAUUCAUCUCUAAAAUACAACUUCGUAGCAUAAAUUCAUCGAUCCUCUAUACUACGAAGAGGUGUUCGAAAGUCAUUUGAAACACAUUCUUAGCAUCCUAUCGGCAUCGAUCAGAUAAUCUACCAGAAUGAGGGUUCUAUAGAAAAUACGAUAUAAUGGAAAUAAUUCAAAACAUAUAUAUAUAAUCACAUAUAAUCAAAUCAUCAUGCUUCCUGUAAAGUAUUCCUCAAAUCAAUAAUUCUACAAGUCAUGCUAUUAAAUUAUGCAAUUCUAUAAAUAAAACAUGCAAUUUUUGAAGGUGCUCCACUCACAGAUACUCCAAAGCAGCAAAAUUGUGCGGAAAAAAAUUAAGGAAGUCUCCACUAGCAACUUCACCUAAGCACGAAAAUGUACAAUUUGAUAAACUACCCAAAAGAUGGAAUUUUAGGAAAUGGAAAUGGGUUUUGGGUUGAGUGGGUUAGGGACAAGAGGUGUUUUGGGCUUAAGCCCAAACCGAUACUCACCAACACACACACAUGCAAAGCAUGCACUGCACACACACACUUGCAUAGACAUAUACAUAUAUAAACACAAACACAUGCAUAAGAGCGCACACACACACACACAGCAUGCAUAAGCAUGCGCUGCACACACACAUGCAUAUAUAUAUAUAUAUAUAUAUAUAUAUAUAUAUACACAUAUAUAAACACACACACACACACACACACACACAGAGCAUGCAUAAGCAUGCGCUGCACACACACAUGCAUAUAUAUAUACAUAUAUAAACACAUACACAUGCAGCAUGCAUAAGCAUGCACUGCACACACAAAUGCAUAUAUAUAUAUAUAUAUAUAUAUAUAUAUAUAUAUAUAUAUAUACAUAUACAUAUAUAUAUACAUAUACAUAUAUAAACACACACACACAUGCAUAUAUAUUUAUAUAUAUAUAUAUAUAUAUAUACAAAUAUAUAAACACACACACACGCAGCAUGCAUACACGGCAUGCACAGCAUGCUCACACACACACACACGGUUCACGGACACACACACCACACACGCCUGCACCCCGUACACACACACACACACACACCCACGAACUCGCCGGAGUUCGUCGUCGGAACCGGACAUGCAUGCACAAAGGAUGGCAAGGGUUAGGGCUUGAAUAAAGGGUCCUAAAACCUCACAAAUAUACAUAAGAACUUACCCAGAUGCACUGCAGCAGGUUUUGGGAAGAGAUGGACCUCGAACUCGUCGGAGUUCGUCGUCGGAGCUAGAUUAUUGGCACAGAGAAAAACUGAGGUCAAAACCCUCGAGUUUUGUCAUAAAACCAACAUGCAUAACCCAUAAAUUUGAAGAAGGAACACACUUCUCACCUGGGUUCGAGUUUUAGAGCUUUGAAGCUCUCGGCUUCAAUGGCAGAAAACUCCACGAUGCUCUGAUGGCGCAUGCAAGGGUACCAUUGCGCUCGUUAAGUCUCAAGGAUUCCAAAUAUAUAGAUUUUGGGCUUGAUUUGUUGUUGAUUCGAAGGGAAGAGAGGUUGGGAGUUCUCGGAGCUUAGAGAGUUAGAGAGAGAAGGAGAAACAGAAAAGAAGAGAGAGAGAGAGGUUCUGAGAUGUGUUUCGGGAAGAGAGGGAAGAAGAGAGAGAGAGAAACUGGAAACCAAGACAUAAAAAAAUAAGGCGGGUCCCACAGCUCUCCAAUUAAAAACUAAAGAAGUCAUUUUAAUAAGUAGAAAGUGGGUGUGUUUGUAACAGUACAAGUGAAACAGUAGUUAAUAUUUGGGAACCAACAGAGCUCCUUAUUCAGGGGGUUUGUUUCUGUUUUUCGCAGGAGAAUGAUUUGGAGCGAUUCAGAGAGUUAAACUUAGAUAUCGAAAUUAAUGGAAACCCAUUGGUAUAAUUUCUUCAUCUGAAAUUUUUUAUUGCCCAAUUGGUUGUUUCAUCAUUUUUCUAACCAUUCGAAUGCUGGGAAUGUUGGGUUUCUUACGGUUAAAUCUUUGCAUGUAUUUUUUUUUUCUUUCUAAUUUUCUGAUUUUCAGUUUUAUCUUUUUUUCUUUCUCAAUUAUACCAAGAUAUUGUUUAAUGCAUAGACACAUAAAUGAUUCAAAAAAUGGGUGUACCAAGAGAAAAAAAAAAUGUUGGAUUGUCUGCAAAGCGCUGAACCAAAGAGAGGAAUAUAAUGUGUAAAUAUAAUUGGUUAUUCAAAUACGAACUUCUUUGCUUAAUUGCUAGAAUUUCAGUAUAAAUCAGAUAUUAGUUAUUUGACCUUCAUUUACCCUCUCUCAAACCCUAGCAGCCACAACACCAACUCUAGCCGAUCCUUCAGAACCCAAAACUGAGCCCAUCUCUGCAAUAGCAUCGGCUUCUCCAGGUUUCUCUCUUAGCCUCGGAAAACUCAGUAUAGUUUAUGUGAGAUUGAAAUUAAUUCCUAUCUGAUUUGCAUUUAUAUGAAUAUUCAAUAUACUUACAAGUAUUGUGUAGUCUAUACCCAAGACAAUCACAAAGAGACGUGUCCCUCACAAUUUUGUAAAUUAUAUAGCAGACACCAAAAGUUUUGUUUUGCGGAGCGAGUUUUAUGGUUUUGCAGCAUGUUUUUUGAAGUUACUUAUGUUCUGUUAUGUUAUCCCUCAGUUUUCUCCAAACCCCCAUUUGAUUUGUCAUGAAUCUUUAUGCUUUUUUUUUUUUUUUUUUUUGCAGGGAUAAAUCAAGACGGGCUCCCUGCCGGUCAGGGUGUCUUGCCAAGUACAACCAGGUCACAGUCAUGACUCAUGGUAAGGCCUCCUCCCUCUGAUUUUUGAGCUUCUCAGCUUGCAUCGUCUGUUUUUGCUUUAUGGGUUUUGUUUGAAAUUGCAUCUGCUUUUGAUUGGUCCCGAAUAUGAAAUAUGCUCUGUUUGAUCCCAAAUAAGAAAUGACAUAGGUCCCGAAUAAGAAAUAUGCUCGAUUUGUUCCUGAAUAAGAAAUGACAUAGGACCGUGGCUUCCAUCGUUAUUAAGCUAUAUCCUUUUCUACUUGGGUUACAAAAAACCAUUAUAAUGAAUUAAUUUGCAUGGUCUCACAAAUUUUUUAUUCCCCAAUAUUGGGUAAACACCAGAGUAGUCCGUAAUCGACUUUCAAUUUCAUUUUUUUGUUCCGAUUACCCUUACAUAAAUGUAUUUAUGAUCUUUUAGUUUGAAGAGCCCAAAUGUUGUUGCAAAAUGUGCUAUAUAUGGAGUAACUAAUGUCUUUCUUACUUAUUGGUUGGGCUCUUCUUUCUUUAUGUGAGGCAUUGAUUUCUUAAACCCGGGUUGAAAACCCCAAUAAGAUUUUUUGUUCUUUUAAAAAAAAAAAAUUCCAUUACAAUAAUUUUGUAUCUUUUGGCUGAUUUUGUGGGUCUUUCGUCAGUUUUUGUUUAGUUUUAAAUGUCAGAAGCUUUGAAUUUUUUUGGGCUCAAUUUUAAAUGGGUUGUUAUCAACCAUUGAAUUGCUUUCAGAGUUUUCAUUUGAUAAGAGAGAUGGGGGGUUCUUUUGGGUUAAACUUUUGAUCCGUCGGAUUUUUAGUUAGGUUGUGUCCACCCUAAUUCAAGCUUUCUAUCUUCAGAUCACCAGCAAUAAUCUCAUCAAGGUCCCAGGAGGAAUCACGCGAAUUCACUGCCGAAUUGGUAUGUGUACUUAUGCUUUUGCAAAAAGCCCUUUUCUUGCCAUUUUUCUGUUUUAGAAUUGGGACCAAAGUAAUUAUGAGUGAUUUUGACAAACAUUGAGAUAGAAAAAAUGGCUAUCAAGCAAACAGCCCGUGAGUAUUUAAACAUAUAAUUUUCAGUCAAAUGAAAUAGUUGGUACCACAAGCUUUUAAUUAGGGAGGAAUGUUUGAUUAUAUAUUUAAAUUAAGCAAAGAAUCUUCCAUAAGAAAACGAUCCAAGUUGAAAUAAACCAAAUAUAUGGUGCAACAUCAAUAUCUUAGUCACUUUAACUAUUAACAAUGUUUUCUGCCUUUUCUUAUUUAAAUUUUAUUGCCCCUAUGUGUUUCUUGAAUUUUGUAAUAGGGAUAGAUAAUGAUGUGAUUGUCCUAUAUAUAUUUUGGUAAAUCAUUUUUCUUAAAUCCUUCUGUUAUCAUGCUUGCUCUAGAUUCUGCAGGGUUUUUUUUUAAGUUUAUUUGGUUGUUGGAAAAAAACCGUGAAAUGAAGGGCUCCAGAGUUUGAUCAUUUGUGCCUCAAAUUUGGUAAGGUUUCUUUCCCCUAUAUAAUUUUGAUUGGUACUUAUAGAUUUUCAUCAUAAAUUAUUGUAUUCUCUUGCAAAGUUCAUUUUUGACACUUAUGUAAACUUUAACCCACUUCACCAGAUAACUUAAAUCUGUUUUGUUUGAUCAUUAUGUUAUAAUAUUCUAUGUGGUUGCAAGUUUGAAAAAUGGAGGGAGACAGAUCAGUUAUGAACAAAUUAGCAUGGAUCAUCCUAAUGCUAUAUAAGUUAGGUUGCUGAUUUGUUUCCUCAUUUCUUCAUUGGUGAUUUGUAUUUUCAGUGACUUUUCAUUCUUGGGUAAUAAGUUUUGGUCAAGAGUUAAUGUGUUCAGUUCUUUUUUUAAUUUCUGUUCUGUGUGGUUCUGUGUCAUGUGAUUCGAGGUUCCAAAAGAGAAACAUUACUUAUUUUAUUUGGUCAGAGGAGUGGGGAGGAAGUUCUGUUCAAUUUUGGUUUUUCCGAUGGCUUAGGAAGAAAUUAUGUCACUAUUGAUAUUGUAGGUGUCCAGCUUGCAAAAAUUACAAAGUAUGCUACAAUAGAUGUAUCCCUUGGUUUGUCAUUUUGUUACUUGAUUACUAAGGUUAUAUCUGGCUGCCCUAUGCUUCGUUCUACAAUCAAUUUUUGCCAUGAUUUUAGAAACAGUUUAGGGUGCAUGUGGGGAUUUGAUUUGAUUUCUGAUAAGAGGCAUGAAAGUAAGCAAGUUGUUGGUAAGAAAUCCAAACAAUUGUAGUUGGAGGAAACAAAUUCUUUAUUCCUCAUCUUUUGUAAAUUUUUCAGUUUGUGAUUCUCAAGAGUGUGCAUAUAAUUUUUGAACAAAAUGCAAGAGUUCAAGAUUUUUAGUGUUGUAAAACCAAUUUGCUUUCAGAGCGAUCGAUUGGGCAUCCAUUAAUGCAAUGUUUUUAUAAUCUAUUAAACAUUCCCGCAGCAACGCGCGGGCAACCGUUCUAGUUAAAUCUAAAAUUAAAAACUAAAAGCAAAAACGCUAUUGGGCAAUCUCAAAAAUACGCACGUUGGAGAACUGUAUCAGAGACCUGUGCGGCCCUAUGGUUGAAGUUGAACUACGGAGAGUAAAAAUGGUGUAUUCAAUUGAGAAUUUGAGAGAUUUUAAUGGAUUUAUAAAUUGAUCAAUUUUGUGAAGUUUAAUUGAUUUGUAGAGAUUCUAUAUAAAAUUUUGAUUCAAUUCCCUCGAAAUCUCAUGGGAAGAUGUGAGAUUUGUGGAUGCUUAAAAUACACUACGAAUUCCCUCUAAUUCCUCAAAUUCUUUAAAAUCAAUUUCUAAUUAAAUACGUCUGGAAUGUUUUAAAUUUCUUUAAAAUCCUAAUUAAAUACACUCGGAUUUCUAAGGAUUUUAAUAAACUAUCUUAAAAUUCUAAUUGAAUAGACCUUAAAUUUCAGAGAAUCACUU
rnacentral:lncRNA from 1 species